rnacentral:rRNA from 1 species
UGGGGAAUUUUGGACAAUGGGCGAAAGCCUGAUCCAGCAAUGCCGCGUGUGUGAAGAAGGCCUUCGGGUUGUAAAGCACUUUUGUCCGGAAAGAAAUCCUUGGCUCUAAUACAGUCGGGGGAUGACGGUACCGGAAGAAUAAGCACCGGCUAACUACGUGCCAGCAGCCGCGGUAAUACGUAGGGUGCAAGCGUUAAUCGGAAUUACUGGGCGUAAAGCGUGCGCAGGCGGUUUGCUAAGACCGAUGUGAAAUCCCCGGGCUCAACCUGGGAACUGCAUUGGUGACUGGCAGGCUAGAGUAUGGCAGAGGGGGGUAGAAUUCCACGUGUAGCAGUGAAAUGCGUAGAGAUGUGGAGGAAUACCGAUGGCGAAGGCAGCCCCCUGGGCCAAUACUGACGCUCAUGCACGAAAGCGUGGGGAGCAAAACAGGAUUAGAUACCCUGGUAGUCCACGCCCUAAAACGAUGUCAACUAGGUUGUUGGGGAUUCAUUUCCUUAGUAACGUAGCUAACGCGUGAAGUUGACCGCCUGGGGAGUACGGUCGCAAGAUUAAAACUCAAAUG